GCGUGUGCGAUGAAGGCCUUCGGGUUGUAAAGCACUUUUCACUGGGAAGAGGAAGGACGGUACCAGUGGAAUAAGCCUCGGCUAACUACGUGCCAGCAGCCGCGGUAAAACGUAGGAGGCGAGCGUUAUCCGGAUUUACUGGGUGUAAAGCGCGUGCAGGCGGUACGUUAAGUUGGGUGUGAAAGCUCCUGGCUCAACUGGGAGAGGUCGCUCAAUACUGGCGAACUAGAGAGUGGUAGAGGAAGGUGGAAUUCCGGGUGUAGUGGUGAAAUGCGU
rnacentral:rRNA from 1 species